AAAACUAAAGUUUUUUUUUUUGAGUUAUUUCACAAAACUGUCAGGGAGAUUGAAAAUUAAGCUGUCGUCCUCUCAGUGGCGGAACCGGAAAACUUGCCAGUGGACUAGAUCAUGUACCAUCCACUAUGAGAAGAGGUGAUUGCCAAAGGCUAUUAAACCAAAAAGAAUCUUAUUGGAUUGACAAACUGUGGGCCACUAAACAUCCUGGUCUUAACCCUCUAUGGUAUCGUGUUGCCUCUAGGUAACAUACCCAUUUUUGGCCUUUUACACUCACACAUUACAUCCUCAAUUAUGAUGCAAUACUUUGAAAAAGAGGCAGGGCCCUAAGGAAACCAAUAGCAGUGUUUUAAUUUGUCACGUGACUCUCUGGAGGCCAUUUUGAAUCCCUUUUCUGCAGCCUUUGCCACAUGGUUCAGCUCCAUCAUCUCUCUCCACAAAAUUGGUCUUAAAACGUCUUUUUGUGUCAUUUUACAAUCUGGAAAAAAUCGGAUUCACAAUAAUAGGGUGAGAAUGAGCCUGAGGAUGAAGAUGGGUGAAAUUGCAGCAACAGUUCCCCUUCAAGAAAUACCAAAAAGGGCCAAGGGACUAGAGUGGAAAAACUGUAGGACCAUUCUUCCUGUCCCACAAUGGAAAGGCGGUCUCCCACAAGCCACAGAAGUGAAGCCUCCAAUUGAAUACUUCAAUUAAAUUAAAUUAAAGGGUUAAUGAUUCAUUGGACUUUAUGCAGUUUUUGUGAUUGCAUGCUGAUUGUUAUAUUGCCUGUUUAUGCUUUUUUGACAAUUUUCUUUCCAUAUGUUGUCUAAUUACCUACGUAAAGUGUUGUCUAGAUACUCUGCCUCAUCCCCGCUGUACCUUUUUCUAGGUGAAUUACCUCCUGCCUCUGAACCGGCCCAUAUUUGGAUUGGUUCCUUCAAGACCACACCUUCUAUUAUGGUGUUUUUGUUUCUACAGACUCUAUUUAUACAGGUUGUGUAGGUAUCUGUUCCCCUUUGUUCCCUGAUGAAGACCGACGCUUGGCCGAAACAUGUUGGAGUUUUUAAUGUUCUAAUAUGAACAAGCCUUGUAUUAUUAUUUUAACUUUAUAAGAAUGCCUUGGUUCUACAUUUUUCUUUUUAUUGUUAAAAUGUUUUUUCAUAUUUCAUCCAGUUUAUUUAACUAGCAUCCUAGUGGUAGUAUUAAAUCAUUAUAGCAUAUUCAGUAGUGUAUUCGGUUGUGGUUUUAAACUUGUUUAAUAAUAUGUAAUUAUUUAGAAUCGAAAGUAAUGUCAGCUUUACUUCUGUGAUAUAUUUGUAUACAUAGAAAAACAAUUGGUUUGUGCUUUGUAUUAGCAAUCUGUCUUCACUUCUGACCAGCCCAGUUGCUUGUCUGGCUGUAUUUACUAUUCUAAAGUGUUCAGGUUGUUUCUGGGUGUGACCCUUUUUUCGUUGUGGGCUGUAUCUGAAAAGCAUGUGGCCAAUAGAAGGAGACAAAGAGGACAUGUAUGGAUUGGCUACUACAGUGGUGUGAUUUCAGCUGGGUUAGUGCUCCAAUGAUAAGGUCACCUUUGUGGCUAACCUAAUGCUAACCAAUUGGCUGGGCUCUGUUCGGUAACGUAACUAAAUUCAGUUAUGUUUGGCAUUAACAUUAACUGCCUGACGAAGAGGGGUUGAGAAUUUGCUGUUGGUCUUAUAUUUUACAAAGUAACAAAUUAUGGCUGGAGAAUAAGAUUCCAAUUCAGUCAAAUAAGAUUCCAAUCCAGUCGGCUCAUUUGGGCUAGCUAGCUAUCUUUAGCUAGGUAAUAGGGGCUGAGUCUACCAGUCUGAAAAUCCUUCUGUGCCACAGUUAUUUUCUGGAUAUGACUGUAGUUUGAUUACAACAGACUAAUAUCUGUGGUUGGAGAGACAAAUUUCAUUUUUCACUCAAUUCAGUUUUGAUUGUAAAUACAGGAGAUAAGCAAGGGGAAAAAAUUCUGUAUGUUAUUUAACACUGAGAGGUAUAGGAUCUAUUAUGAGGGGGCAGCGUGGUUGUGGUGCCAGCUGCAGGCGGAGAGAUGGGUGUGGUUUAGCUGGCCGGCAAUCGCAGCUGUGGGCAGUUACAUGAUUAGUUCUAACGUUUAUUUGUGCUUUAUUUGUCCUGAAGUGAGACCGGGGAUGAUGUAUGCACACGGUCACGGACAGCAAAGCAACAGCAACGACAACAAAAACCAGCACAAUUACAGUGACAGUAUUGUGGUCCAUGUAUUUAAUAAACCGUGUGUAUGCUCCAUGCUUGUGUGGUUCUGUGGGACUGGUUACACUAGUUUCCCCAUUUUGGGGGGCCCUCUGAUUUUUGCUUUUUUUUUCAUAUAAUUUUUUCAGUACAAAAUUGCCCUCUCUGUUAUUUAUUGUAGAUUCAUGUUAGGAGACUAUAAUAUGGUAAAUUGACAGAAAAGCCAAGAAAAGGACAUAUUGAGUUUAUUGAUAAAACAUAGCACACAACAUGAUGGAAGACGUUUAUAUAAUAUUGAUUUUUUAUGGCAUUGGGUAAGAAAUGCACUUCAAAUAAACACGACAGACCACGC